rnacentral:lncRNA from 1 species
UCGGUUUGCCUGGCGGGGGCUCUGAAGUGGAAACUCCAAGGGCCACUGGGAAGAGAGGGUUCUCUGAGACCGUUGAUCUGAAGCUUAAUCUUCAGACCAAGGAAGAUCUGAAUGAGAAUCUGAAGAAUGUCUCAAAGGAGAAGACUCUCCUUAAAGAUCCUGCUAAGCCGCCGGCUAAGUAAGUGUUUUUCUCACUUUUCUUUUGUAAUUGAAAGCCUUUGCAUGCUUCUGUUCUCUAGUCUUUUCUUUCUUGCAUCAAUAGUGUGUUUAAUUUGAUUCCAUAUCCCAUACAAGAUUUUUCAUGUUUACUAACAAGUUUACUAAGAAGUUAAUAGUUGUAACUUUCAUAUUACAAACGUAUUUCUAACUUCUCAACGAGUUUCUUAGCAUCCAAAGUUGAUGUACUUUGUAAUUUCUUAGUUUGUAUUUUUUUUAUCAGUAAAUAUUAAUUAUUAAUUUUUUUGUUAGGAAAGAAUCAAAUGACCUUUUCUUUUUCCUUUCUCUUUUAUCACUCAUCCAAUCUUAUAACUACUUUAUAACUUCUUAGUGAUUAUCUAUUAUCAAUGUUAUAAUAUACAGUUUGCAUAAGGUGUUUGCAACAUACAUAUUAGAAAGUGAAGAUUGAUGGGGAUUUGGAAUAAAAUUUUCAGGGCUCAAGUGGUUGGUUGGCCACCAGUGAGAUCAUACAGGAAGAACAUGAUGGCAGUACAGAAGGUUAGCAAUGAGGAAGUAGCUGAGAAGACAACAAGCAGCACUAUUGCUAAUUCUGGGGCGUUUGUCAAGGUUUCCAUGGAUGGAGCACCUUACCUUCGCAAGGUGGACC